AAAAUUUGAAUUGAUUUGAUUGGGGAAUUCCGAUUUUUCCCCAAGUUCCUAUCCGUUUUCUUCCCCCAAAUCUGCCCUAUUUUCCUGGCUAUAUAUACUCUCUUAUUAUUCACUGGUAAGGGGGGGGGGGGAAUGAAUUGGAAUUAGAAAAAAAUAAAAUACAGUGAACUAUUAAUUAUACAUAGUUAUAGAUAAAUAUUUAGGAAAUAGAUUUUGAAGUGAUAGAGAUUGGCAAUAAGAUUUCUACUCUCGUUUGAUUCUUUUCCGUUCAUCGAAGUUCUCGGAGUCAUAGUUUGGUGGUGGUGGAAUCCUUCCCAGAAUCUCGUGUCCCAGGUCGCUGCCCGGGAGAAGGUAUACAACUCCGCUCUUCUUACCGUCUUGUUUUCUUAAUUUGAGUUUUCGUUUUGUUUUAUUUAGUUGGCUGCAUUGUCCUAAUAGUUUAGCCAAAAUAGGGAUUCCCCGUAUGAUCGAAACUUUGGUCUUUCAUGUGUGAGUAUGAUUUGAAUGCGUAUGUAUGGAUGUUGGAAGGCUGGUUUCCGAUUGUUGUUGCUCUUAUUGUUUUAACUUUAUAUAUCAUUGUUACGAUCAGUUUCGAAAUUGCCUUGUUAGUCUUGGUUUGUGUCUGUUUGUGGUAAAUCUGCACGGAUAAUCAAUGUUCGACGCCAUGCUAUUCAUUUCUUGCCUUAAACUUAUUGAAUGAAUUCGAAUCUAUGAAUGUUUAAGCUUAUCUUUGAAUCAAUUUAAAAUUUUGUUUAAUCAUGUUAUGCUUUUAAAUAUAAAUUGAGUUGCAGGAAUGUCCAUGAUGCAUUAUAUGCGCAUCUAAAAUCAACAUUAUGUCUUAAUUCUUAUCACACCUACCUCUAUCUCAUAAUUAACUCUAUUAUCUAUCUUAAGACUCUUCUAUAUGAUUUUAUUCUUACUUGGCGUCAAAGUAUGAUCUUUGUGAAAAUCCUAUUGUUUGAUAGCCUAUUCGCCUAUAACAAUCUUAGCAUGUUGGUUUAGUAAGUUGACACAAUGAACAUCCUCCUAUUUGUAUUUUUAAGUUACGCAAAUAACAGGAAAUGUUGCUUUUAAUAUGGAUUAGCGAUACAUAUAUUGUCUUAGGAAAGCAUUACUUUCAAAUUGGAUUAGAAUAUUCAUUUGCUAGUGUGUUUUGCUUCUUAUAAGCUUUUCUUAUCAUUAGAUGUUGAAGUUGUUUUUUUUUNNNNN
rnacentral:lncRNA from 1 species